UCCCUGGUGGCUAAAAGGUUAAAGCGUCUGCCUGCAAUGCAGGAGACCUGGGUUCGAUCCCUGGGUUGGGAA
rfam:TPA: Bos taurus chromosome 17, whole genome shotgun sequence.